GUCUGCUCAGCGUCACAAAAAGUCAAAAACGCUUAUUAAAAAGCACCGGCGUGCCUGUCCGACACAGUACACGGAUAUUGCAGACCCUAAAAGAGUGCAGCAUCAAGCGGAAGAUAGUGGUUAACGGUUAAUGUUACAGGAUGCUGUCCAUUAGUCGAAAUUGUUGUUACCUGGUCGUGCUGUGGAGUUCCGCAGAAUGUGCAGCUGGCCUCCACGCUUGAUGGAGGGGAGCAAACGGGGUCCAGUGUGAGUCUUUCUGCUGGUGAGAGAUGAGUGCUGCAUGAUAACAGCCCAGUACACCGUUGCUAAGCAGUUCUGGUUGCUACGAGGGAGAGAGAGAUAGAGACGCUGGGGUGAUCUGGGUAUCACUGGACCUAAGAGGACAUUCCUUGACAUCUGUGCUGAGAUGGCCAUCUUAUUACACAUCCGGAGACUCAUUUGUGAUGCUCGGGGGGAUGAUGAAAGUCACGGGCACGCUGAACUGAAGUGUUUGUAGCAUCGGAUGCCCGCAGAGAGAAGAGAAACCAGCAGGACCAAAGAAGCUGUGAGACGCAACUCCUUCCAGAGCAACCUGACCUCUCAAGGCAGAUGGUUCAUUACGGUUAUACACCGGAGAUUGAUGCUGGCAGUAGCAGAAGACGGAGGAAACUCUGAAAUGGAUUAACGGCCUGUCAAUAAGGAAACGUUAUUCAUUUAUAUAAAGGAAAAGGUAGACAGAGAUGCAUGGGGACAGUUGAUAGAAGCACUGGGGACCCAAUUUUAGUCCGAUUUUCAUGAUAUGUCCUUUUUAAAGCCCGGUAGACACCGACCGGAUGGAUGGAGGUGUUCCUGCUGGCUCUUCUGGUCAGCAUUGCAUAGUUAUUUUCAUCAGCAUGUAGGCACCAGCCCUUAGUCCAGCUACACUCUGCCGCUGAUGAGGCCAUGUCACCCAUGAUUACGGUUAGAGACUCGAGACAGCGAGUCAGAUGGUGAUGAUGUCAGCACUGGGGAGUGAAUAGAUGGGAGAAUGAUGACGUGUCAGUGCCACCUCAUAUCUCAGGGGGCUCUGCCACCCUCAUGUCCUCAAACCAGCCCCUGGCAAUGUCUGCUUUGGGACACUGUACUGUCACCCAGCUCAUACUCAGAAGACAAAGAGUUGCUGAGGGGACAGGCUUUGAUGGGUUAUGUCGUGGUGAAUAUUAGUAUGUGCCUUCUUCUUUGGAAAUAUACAACACUAUAUUAAGUACACAUAUUAACCUCCUAAGACUUGAGCUUUGAUUUGUCUUUUUUUCAGAUUUCUUCCAGCUAUUUUGGGGUUGGGAAGAACCAAUUAAUAUAAUCAAAUAUUUUUCUUUGAACAUGAAGCAGUGUAAUUGUCCAUGUUUGUGUACAACAGGUUACACAGAGUUAAGUAUUUUGGUGCAAACGACAAAAAUGUGAUGUCCAAGUAACCUCCAGGUCUUUAGGAGGUUAAGUAUGCAAAUGCUAUAUUUAUAUAGGGAAUUCUAAGAAUUGACUAUUUUAUUUAGUACUGACCUGAAUAAUAUUUUAAAUAAUGAAUGUUAACAUGUAGACCAUAAAAACAGACUUAAAUUUUUGUGCAUGCUAGUGUUGUAGUUCUCAAGACUGGUCUUGGUCUCGUCUUGGAAUCGACCGCAUUUUAACUCGGUCUCGUCUCGUUCUCAGACAAAGAGGACUCGGAAUUUUAUUUCAAGACCGGUCAACAACAAAUGAUGGCACAUCACAAAUUUAUUUUUUUUUAUAAAUUUUAUGCAGUUUAUUCAGGUUUGGCAUAUGAUGUUGGCAUUGUUUAAGCAUUGUUUAAAUUACUCCCAAUGACAAUUUUUCUAAUUUUAUUACUAAAAACACCUGCAUUGUGUUAAGUGGAUGGCAAGCCAUGGAAAGACAGUUCAGAAUAAAUGGUUUUGUUCAUUUCAGCUCUUUAGUGUUUGUUCACUUUUAUUUGCUUAAAGACAAAAAUAAAUUCCCACAUAUCUGCAA